UUCAUAGUACUAAACGAAGGUGUCUUAUUCCCGAAGUUAGGAUAUUAGAAUACCAGUGUGUUUGCAUUACCUGUCAGCACAGUUAUACGAAGUCCAAAUAUUCCUCACAUCUUCUGUCGCUAAGCUAGUACACUGAGCUUGUACAUAAAACUGCACUGUAUUCCCAAGGGUCCACCGAAGUUGAAGAACAUCAAGUAAGUUACGAGGAAACUCGCACACCACAUGGAAAUGCACAAUCUCACAACGAAGCGUUUAGUGAUAAUAUUUAACGAUCGAGGGAUGCUUGCUGUUAAUUGCUAUCAGAUCAAGGAAUUCAGAUUGCGUGGAUUUCAAUUACAAGUAUAAAUAUACGAAUAAAGCUGAUUUGCAAGAACGGCAAUAAUAUAA